rnacentral:lncRNA from 1 species
UUCAUUGAUUAUUAUAUAUCUUCUCUUUUCAUUAUCGUAACAUUAGGGAGAAAUAUUACAGACUCAGCUAGUUGAUGAAAGGAGGCAACACGAGGAGAUGGAGAAGAGAAUGGCAGAGAUGUUUUAGUACAUGUAGAGCCUUGGCGCCGCAUCCAGUUUUUCUCCUCCACCCUCGUUGUUCCCUGCAGCUGACCCUGCUCAGUUCCAUACUCAUGUAAGUAUCAAAAUUAUAGUACUACAUAAUAUAUAUUCAUCUCGUCUCACACAUGCAAUCUCUUCUAUGUGUAGAGAUAAUCGACGACAUCAAACAACCCUCAUGGAUCGCCUAGCCCAUCACCGAACAAGUCUAGCCGCCCACCUCGCUGAAAUACUUUGUGCACAUGAUCUUAUGUUUGUUGGUGUCGUUAAUACUUUGUGAGAUAACUUGUUCUGAACUUGUUGAUGUUGGUAAUGCUUUGUGAGAUACUUAAGACUUAUGUUUGUGAGUGUUGGAGACUUAUGUUUGUGUUCGAACUUGUUUGAUGUGGUGAUAUUUGUGGGAUUUAUGGUCUUUGUGAGAUAUGUGGUGUGUAUGAUGUAUGUGAUGAUUAUGUGAUGUAUAUGUGAUGGUUAUGUGAUAUAUCUUUUGUUUGUUUGGAUGGAAUAAUAAAAACAAAUAAAAAUGGGUAUUCUGAUCACUUUGUCGAGUGUUACACUCCGCAAGGAGGUAUUUUGCCGAGUGCCGUGACCACAUCACUCGGUAAUGAAGGUACACCUGGGAACCGAUAAAGCUUCUUUGCCGAGUGUCAAGACCAUAGUACUCAGCAGAGAAGCAACCUUUGCCGAGUGCCUCAUAAUGCACUCGGUAAAGAGACUGUCAAAGGGGCCCAAUGGUGCUCCCGUUGCCGAGGGCUAGUCCAGCUGGCACUCGAUAAAGACUGAGUCUUUGUCGAGUUCCUCCAAAUGCUUUUAGCAAAGGAACUAGCAAAGGGGCCCACUAGGGGCUUCGUUGCCGAGCACCAGUACAACAGACACUCGACAAAGAGGAAGCCUUUGCCGAGUGUCACGGGUGACACUCGACAAAGUCUCCGUCAUCGUCACUUGACAUCGUGACAGUGGCUUUUCUUUGCCGAGAACCAGGUGGCACUCGGCAAAGCAGUUAUGUCCAGAAGUAUAUGUCUAUAGAGGCAAAA